AGACGUAAAGGCAGUCAGCCCAGUGGUGUUUCUGGAGAGGGAUUCCUUCAGAAAUGGAGAAGACAGAAAGCUGCGGAGGCAGAUAUAUGCAGCAUGUUCGAGUGAGCAUGAUGACCACAAGUGUGUGUCGAACUUUUCAUGACCUGAUGACUGUGUUUCCCAAUCCUGAUCCUGGAGAAGCCCAGCACUGCACGGUUUUGGUGUCUCUCUUAUCUGCCUUGGAGUCUUCACUGAUGAGCUGAUGAGUUGAAUCAGGUCUAAAAUAUCAAGCUCAACAGCUCACUCAAGAGCCAACCCUCACAAACCUUCCUAAAAACUAAAAGAGCUAUUACUGAGUCUCAGCGAAUCUUGCCAUGAUCAGCUCUUCCCAGAAGAGAAGGAAGACCAAGGAAAUGAUUUGCUCAGGAUGAGGAAUGAAGAUGGCCAUCUUGUGCUCAAACAAACAGACGUCCUCUGAUGAUCUCAUCAGCCAAAUGAGGGGUUUUGACCAAGUGAUGCUCUUGAAAGGAGUGAAAGAAGAGGAUGUGCUAAAUUCUCUUCAGAGAAAAAGCUUCUCAAAAGGUCUCAAACCAGCUUGAA